AACGAACGCUGGCGGCAUGCCUAACACAUGCAAGUCGAACGAGACCUUCGGGUCUAGUGGCGCACGGGUGCGUAACGCGUGGGAACCUGCCCUUAGGUUCGGAAUAACUCCCCGAAAGGGGUGCUAAUACCGGAUAAUGUCUUCGGACCAAAGAUUUAUCGCCUUUGGAUGGGCCCGCGUUGGAUUAGCUAGUUGGUAGGGUAAAAGCCUACCAAGGCGACGAUCCAUAGCUGGUCUGAGAGGAUGAUCAGCCACACUGGGACUGAGACACGGCCCAGACCCCUCGGGGGGGAAGAAGGGGGGAAAUUGGAAAGAGGGGGGAAGGCCUAACCCAGCAAGGCCGGGGAAGUGAUGAAGGCUUUAGGUUUAAAAAGCUCUUUUACCCGGGAUGAUAAUAACGGUACCGGGAAAAAAAGCCCCGGCAAACCCCGG
rnacentral:rRNA from 1 species